rnacentral:rRNA from 1 species
UGGGGAAUAUUGGACAAUGGGCGGAAGCCUGAUCCAGCCAUGCCGCGUGUGUGAAGAAGGCCUUUUGGUUGUAAAGCACUUUAAGCGAGGAGGAGGCUACUUGGAUUAAUACUCUAGGAUAGUGGACGUUACUCGCAGAAUAAGCACCGGCUAACUCUGUGCCAGCAGCCGCGGUAAUACAGAGGGUGCGAGCGUUAAUCGGAUUUACUGGGCGUAAAGCGUGCGUAGGCGGCUUCUUAAGUCGGAUGUGAAAUCCCUGAGCUUAACUUAGGAAUUGCAUUCGAUACUGGGAAGCUAGAGGAUGGGAGAGGAUGGUAGAAGUCCAGGUGUAGCGGUGAAAUGCGUAGAGAUCUGGAGGAAUACCGAUGGCGAAGGCAGCCAUCUGGCCUAAUAAUGACGCUGAGGUACGAAAGCAUGGGGAGCAAACAGG